AUAUUAGAUUGGUGCAAAAGUAAUUGUGGUUUUUGCCACUAAAAGUAAUGGUCAAAACCUCAGUUACUUUUGCACCA
rnacentral:miRNA from 1 species